rnacentral:lncRNA from 1 species
UCUGAUUGAUAUUGGUCCUUCUUUUGACAGAUAUAAUAUGUAUACUGACUUGUUAUUUUCUUCUCUAGCAAGCACUACGGCGUCAACUUUGUGGUGGCCGACGCGACGGCCAUCGAGCAUGACUUCUUCGCCAAGAACAACCUCAGCGUGGACAUCACGCCGUAGUACAUCAUGAUGGAGCUUGGCUAGAUGUACACAUAUUUUUUUACAACCUCUGCGUGCAUAUUUUUUUUACAAUGCACCAAAGUUUCUUGUUUCUGUUGUGAAAGUAAUGUAAAUGGUGUUACAUAGUUCUCAAUAAAAAUGCAAAUAACUUGUGAAUUUGUCUUCAUGUUGUAUAAGUCUCGACAAAGUUAAUUUGCAUAAGCCUCGACCUCCUCCUGCAAUCUCUCUUUCUCCCCUUCUUCUUUGAAUUUCCCGGUGUUGUAUAAGUCUGCAAGAUUCGGAUUUUAAGAGUACUUGCUCCCUGUACUAGUUACUUCUACUAUUUAUUUUUAGCUGUUUAGUACUACUCUGUAGAUCUGUGAUACUAGUCUAGUCGCUUGUAUAAUUUUGUUUAAUGGUGUAACCUGAAACAUUGAGUAGUACCCUGUUCGCAUAUGUGUGAUUAUGUGUGUUCUGUAGUCUCUAGCUCCAGUACAUGUGAACUAUAUGUUGUGGUGUAAAUCAUUUUCAUUCUAUCUUAUAAACGUGUUUCUUCAAUAGCUAUUUUUGUUCAAGUCUUGUUGUCAUUGAUGUUAGCAUUUAGUUUGUCUCAAGUAAAAAAAAUACUAAAAAUACAGUGAAGAUAAUCUGAACCUCCCUAUGUAAAAUUUAGUUUGUCUAUAAUACUACUAGGAGAUGGGUGAGGGACUGAAAGGAUGAUAUGCUUCCAUGAAUUUAUUUGUAAGAAUUUUUUCUUGGCUCUGUACAAAUCAGCACAAAUAUGUGAGCCUCGGUUCUGAAAACUAAAGAAUUCAUAUAUUGCUAGAUAGACUAUGAUUUAGGAUAUGCUAAACAGAAAGCUUUAUAAGAUGGAACUAUCAAUUCAUCAUGACUUCACUUUGUCCUUUAAUUUAAUUUAAUUUAAUAUGGUUAGAACUACCAUGGUUUUUUAAGUAGUUGGCGCAUUAAGAAACAGUAUGCUGGAUGUUUGGCCUUGCAUUCGUCCUUCCAUGAAUUCAUGCUUGUACAUUGCUAGUUAUUGAUUUUUUUGCAAGUCUUCUUCUUCCUCGAUCUUGUGCAGCAGCAACAAUUCAAGGUCAUGGUCAUGGAGCAGCAGCCAUAUAUUUUUCUUCUUAUUCCUCCCUGAGAUGACAUGAGAUGAGGUUUGUUUUCCUCAAGGUCAAGGUGCAGCAGCUCGAUUUGAUUUGAUGUGAUUGGAUUCAGUUUCCUCAUGCUUCUCUGUUUGCAUUGCAGGCUCUGUUGGUCGGUCUUCAAUUCUUCAUGCUGUUGCUGCUACUGCUACAUGAGGACCCUCUUCAAUUCUGCAUCCAUUGCGGCCGCCGCAGCUUCCACCUCUACCCGGCCGCAUUCGCAAGUGUAAGCUCCCCCUCCCUCCGUCCUAGAUCUCUAGGUCUGUUGCUGUCAUGCGCCAUGUUCUUGAUGUUGCGCGACCUAAUGUGGAUGCCACGAACGGCGCUGCUCCUGUGUGCAGAUUUGAUUCACCGCAUUAGUAUGCGGUUGUUGUCUCGUCGUGGUUGCUCAAACUGAGAUGUACCCAGUUGAUUCGUCAUCUCGGGUCAUAAAUUUUUCUGCAUUCCCUGUUGCUGUAGCUUGUUGGAUGCAUAGUUUGAUCUCCCAAUGGGAAUUAUUAGUGAAUGGUGAUGUCUGUGGUCACGAGAAUGGUGAUGUAGUAGCUGGUAUGCUUGAUGCGUGUAAGUCCAUCUCUUUACUGUUUUGCUAGAACCAUAAAUCCUGAUGCGCAUGAUGAUCAUGGUCUGAUUUGUUAGAUCUAUUCUGCUGGUGCUUAAAAUUUGACAUGCCUGGAUUCUAAAACAAAUUUUACAGCAUUCUAUGUUGUAGCCAAACACUUGCUCUGUAUUUUAUAUUAAAACCAUGGUAUUGUGUACCUGCCAACUACGAGUAAAUUACUGAAGUUUUUAAUACUUUGGUUUUUUUGAUACUUUUUUUACAGAAAGGCAAUGGUCUGUAGUGAACUGAAGAUAGGAAAAAUGAUAUGUAAAUGCACUUUGAUCUGCUCAGUAGGAGCAAGAUGGAGUCGCUGGAGCAGAGCAGUCGAGUCUGCAUUUUGUUCUUCUGUCAGACAGACAUCCACAUGUUGUACCGAUUCUUAGUUCAGAGAUAGGAAUGUAUAAAUGGUUGCCGAUCUCUCCAUGCAUGGAACAGUAGCUUUUUAUGUAGGAUCCUUUCCGUAUAGAUGAGUCACAACAUUGAUUUGUUGAUCCAUUUGGAAACUAAAAGAAAGUACAGAGAGGACGAACUUGUUGGUAGAACUUCAUCAUAUUCAGCAGACGGAGUCCACGGGUGUAGCAUUUUGUCUAGUACACCCAACACCACCUGAGGAUCCAAUUCACUGUUAGAAAGUUAGAAAUUGAUAUUACAGGUUCCUUAUAGUGCAAACCAAAGCUGCUACUCCAACAACCAUCAAAUGAAACCAUGUUUUCUAAAAUUAAAGGGUCUGAUUGAUAUUGGUCCUUCUUUUGACAGAUAUAAUAUGUAUACUGACUUGUUAUUUUCUUCUCUAGCAAGCACUACGGCGUCAACUUUGUGGUGGCCGACGCGACGGCCAUCGAGCAUGACUUCUUCCCCAAGAACAACCUCAGCGUGGACAUCACGCCGUAGUACAUCAUGAUGGAGCUUGGCUAGAUGUACACAUAUUUUUUUACAACCUCUGCGUGCAUAUUUUUUUUACAAUGCACCAAAGUUUCUUGUUUCUGUUGUGAAAGUAAUGUAAAUGGUGUUACAUAGUUCUCAAUAAAAAUGCAAAUAACUUGUGAAUUUGUCUUCAUGUUGUAUAAGUCUCGACAAAGUUAAUUUGCAUAAUCC